UCCGUUCGCCCCCAGCUACCGCCCCCCGACGGCUCGGUGCGCAGCGGGUGACCGGCGCUCCCGAGCCGGAUGCGCUGGGGCCCCGCGGUCCGGCGGUGGCAGAGGCUGGAGCCUGGGCGACCGGCUCCGGAGUGAGCUGUGAGUCCGGCAUUCUCUGUCCUAUUGGAAAGAAGAUCAAAGAUCCUUCACAGAGCUCGCCCUUCUCGAGUGGAAAGCUUUUACUCCAGGUGGAGCCGGAAGAAAGUUCUAGGGAAUUAGCGCCUCUCUCCACGAAAUCCACUUGGCGGGACAUUCCCAAUACUUACUGAGUCGCAGCCCCCCCGCCCCAUCCUGCCUUAGUAUCAAGCGCCUACUAUGACAGACAUCUGGCGAGACAGCCCAAGGAGGAGAGAAAAUAUUAGGCAGGCAUCCCCUCCACCUGAACCACCUGGACUGGGCGUGCCUAUAGGGCCCAGAUUCAACCCCCACCACUCUGAGGCCAUGCCCUGCGCUUUCCUGAACCCCAGCUCCCUCAAAACUGCCUCAAACUGGCUCUAGAGCGCUAGGGUUUAUCCGAAAGUGAAUUGUUA